CGCGUUCUCGCGAGCGCGAAACCUUGUCUGGCUACGCAGCAGGAGCUGGCUUUGGACCCGAGGUCGAACGAUUUUGUGUCUUGUGAAUCUCUAACAGGAUGGUUGGAGUUCUUUUAAUAGAGCUGCUACACAUGAGAUGGACGGACACCCUGGUUCUGUGAUUGGCUGUCCCACAUCAAGGCUGAUUCGAACUGAAACCAUUUGGAACCAGACGGGAUAAGAAGAAAACUGCUGCUGCUGAAUUCAGGCAUCUGGGGGGAUGAUGGACUGGCAGCUGCCUGGCUCAGAAGAGAAAACAGACUAGAACAGCUUAAAUCUACCAAGGGAGAUGAUGAGUCACCCAGUAAUCUCCAAAUGGAAGAGCUGUUACAUUUUGAGGAUACAUCCGUCAUGUCUCCAGCAGGUUCCCACUUCAUGAGGGAGCAGGAAACAAGAUCAAGGUGCCGCUACUCUGCUAGUUGCAACUUUGCAAAGUUGACAGAAUUUAUAUAAGAAGUAUCUUAAGCACUACAGUCGUACACACAGUAAGGGAUGUGUCUUCUGCAGCUUUACACUGCUGUAUAGAGACAAAAAGUUACAGUUCAUUUCCAUUAUCUCCAAUUUGAGUUUUAUCAUCACAAGACUCAGCUGAAAUCACAAACUUUGGCACCCUUUAAGAUAAUCCCUUCAUUUUGAUAAAUACACCACUCUGAAAGAGGCUAUUAAAACAGCACAUUAUCGUCACCUUUCACUGUCGUGGAGGAAAUAAAUUGCCAUAUCAGAACAUGAACUUUGAAAUGCUAAUGUUCUUGUUCAGGAGAGUGCUGUACUGUGACCUCAACAGAGACUCUUUCAAUCUAUAAAUUCAUUCUGCCUCAUUCCACUUUCUGCUCAUCUACUGCGCAGUGUUCCUUCUUUUUUUUUAAUGUAGACCAUUUAAUACUGUUAUUUAUUUACAGGUUAAAUUUGACUCGAUUUGAGUCCAGGUUCAA